GGCCAUAUAGCUCAGUGGUAGAGCAAACGGCUGUUAACCGUUUGGUCGCAGGUUCGAUCCCUGCUGUGGCCGCCA
rnacentral:tRNA from 9 species